rnacentral:rRNA from 1 species
GUACACUCCUGCGGGAGGCAGCAGUGGGGAAUUUUGGACAAUGGGCGAAAGCCUGAUCCAGCAAUGCCGCGUGAGUGAAGAAGGCCUUCGGGUUGUAAAGCUCUUUUGUCAGGGAAGAAACGGUGAGAGCUAAUAUCUUUUGCUAAUGACGGUACCUGAAGAAUAAGCACCGGCUAACUACGUGCCAGCAGCCGCGGUAAUACGUAGGGUGCAAGCGUUAAUCGGAAUUACUGGGCGUAAAGCGUGCGCAGGCGGUUUUGUAAGUCUGAUGUGAAAUCCCCGGGCUCAACCUGGGAAGUGCAUUGGAGACUGCAAGGCUAGAAUCUGGCAGAGGGGGGUAGAAUUCCACGUGUAGCAGUGAAAUGCGUAGAUAUGUGGAGGAACACCGAUGGCGAAGGCAGCCCCCUGGGUCAAGAUUGACGCUCAUGCACGAAAGCGUGGGGAGCAAACAGGAUUAGAUACCCCAGUAGUCCCAUG